rnacentral:lncRNA from 1 species
ACUUCAUCCACCCUCCCACCCUUUUGGCAGGAGGAGGGGGAGUCUGGAAACUGGACAUCCUGUCUUUAGUGGAGUCUGUCUUGACCGUGUAAGAUACACUGAGUUUCUAUUACCUUGUGGAUUUCUGAAGAAAUUGUUGCUGAAGGAAUUCAAUUCCGAGAAACAGCACAACACCACACACCCAUCACACCACAGGAGAUGGUGGCACCUUAAUCGGGGAGAAAGGGGUCGUGGUAAUGACUGGAGCAGGUUCAGGGGAAUGGUAUGAAAUACAUCAAACACAUGGUUUCCAGGUGUUUAAUGCCAUUCCAUUUGCUCCAUUCCGCACAUUAUUAUUAGCAGUCACGAAUGUUUGAUCUUGAACAGAACAUGACACGCAGAAAUCGUAAUGUUCAACCUGCGAGGACAGAUACAGAAACCGGGAAAAUUCCGAGCAACACAGGUGGUGUGAAUACAUCUCUCUCUACAGCUCAGAGCAACUUGUCUCUGUGUUUCACCUGCAACGGUGAGAGAUGUCAAGAUGUGAAAAAGAUUUUCAACUCAAUGAGAGAUGACAAAAUUUGGACGCAAAGUACUGCAACGUCUGCCCUUCUUGGCUGUUCCCUGACCUCGUCUCCCUUUGCUGGGAAGUGUGUGCCAUGUGUUGAGGACCGCAAGGUCUACAUUGUUUGCCUUGACAUGCCCAAGGAUCUCAAACUGGACCUGGAGGAUGGUGAUGGCAACUCAUUUUCCUACACUGAAGCUACAUGCCCUAGACUGACGGCGUCUAGAGCUGUAGGUCACGCUGGACACAACAGUAAUUUCAGUGUUUGUGAGUUUCCUAGUGGAGUCAGAGGUCUUGCUGGGCAUGGUGGAGCAAUGAUCAGCAUUGGCAUGUUAGCAGCUGCCGUCAUCUUUGUCGCUUACUACAGAAGCCAGACCAAAUCAAGUAUUGUCUAGUGUCAACUUCAGAAGUCCACUCAGAGGAACACCAGACCCAUUUAAAGUUAUUAAAGACUGUCACGUCUACUGCUCCCCCUCUCCGGCGCACAGAGGGAGGGGGGCAGAACAUGAGACAGAGCUGCAUUUCAUGACAAAAUGUGAAAAAUAUAAAACAAUUAGAGAGUGUAAUUUCCCCAUUUUGAAACCCUUAUUCAAGGUUUCAAAGACCUCUCUGGUGAGAGUAGGCUACCCUUCCUGUUGGGGGAAGACGCAGAGAGCUGGGGGUUGGCAGCGCACUACAUUGCUGCCUGCCAUAAGAUGAGGGACAGUGUCUGACAGACCAAUCAACCUGCACAUAAGCUUUGGCAAUAUGUACAUUGUUACGUUAUGCCAAUAAAGUGAAUUGAAUUGA